GUGCCAGCAGCUGCGGUAAUACGAAGGGGGCUAGCGUUGUUCGGAAUUACUGGGCGUAAAGCGCACGUAGGCGGUUUUCCAAGUUGGAGGUGAAAUCCCCGGGCUUAACCUGGGAACUGCCUCCAAGACUGGAGACUCGAGUCCGAGAGAGGUGAGUGGAAUUUCCAGUGUAGAGGUGAAAUUCGUAGAUAUUGGAAAGAACACCAGU
rnacentral:rRNA from 1 species